UACCGAAGAAGGAGAAGAGAAGACGUCGAGGGUUUUGGUCUCUUCGGGCGUCGGGUGUUUCAAUUUUACGCUGCCAUAUAAUAAACAAAAUGUUAGUAAAAAAAAAAAAACCAAUUAAAAUAUAAUAAACAAAAUAUUGUUAGUAAAAUAAAAAAAAUAAAUAACACAAAGUCGACCGCCUAGGGAAUAAAUCGUGACAUGGCGUCCAUGGCGUCGACAUGGCGACGCCUAGCUUUCCAUGGCGACCGCUAAUUGUGAGAGACACAAAUCGUAGGGCUGCCAUGACCAAUUUUUACCGCCGAGACGCCAAAUCGCCGCCUAGGCGACGCCUUGACAACUAUGCUUUACUCACAUAGUAUUUGUCAUUGUAACGUCUUUGAGUCCCUCUUCAAGUUUAACUUCAAAAUUUGUUGAGUUUCAAACCAAGAUUUCAAAUCUGAUUUUAGGAAUGGUCAUCGGACUUGAUGCUUGUUUGGUUCUUGCUUUCAGAAUUUGUUCUUUGGCAUUGAUUCCUUGGAGCCCUAUUGUUAAUCAAUUUAUGGGAUCUUCAAACAUGUCCUCUAAUAUCACUUUCAGUGCUAGAUUUAUAUCUUAUUAUUAUUUAUGAGAUCUAUUAAUUAUUCUAAUUAUCUGUUGCUUCUGGGUUGGGUUUUAAAUUAUGGAAAUUUAUUUUAAUAUAUGAAUAUAUAUAAUUUUAUCAUACUAUCAUAUAAAAGGAUGUACUUAUGCUGUGUAGCUAAUCUUUUCAUGGACUAUUUUACUCUUCUUUUUUAUUUAAAUAACUUUCAUCUUUCUUAUUAUUAUAAUUUUGUAUUCUUAUUUUUUUUUUUUAUAAUUAAAUAUCAAUUUAUUUAUUUUAUUAAUUUAAAAAAUUAAUCUUCUUAUAUGUCUCAAAUACUCUCAAUGUCUUUCAUUCCUUUAAAAAAUUAAUCAUCUUAUUUGUUUCAAUAUCUUUAUGGCUCCUAAAUUUUCUUUUUCAACCCCUAGUCUUUUUUAUUCCUUUGCUUCCACGGUUCUUUUUCUCACAAUUACUUCUCUUUAAUUAGUUUGCCUCUCAAUAUCUUUAGUUUCUUUAAAAAUUAAUCUCCUUAUUUGUCUCAAAAUCUUUAUGACUCUUAAAUUCUUUUUCAAACUCUUUAUUCACUUUGAUUCCUUUCCUUACAAGGUUGUCUUUCUCACACACAGCUCUCUCUAAUUAGUUCGCCUCUUAAUAUCUUUAAUUCCUUUAAAAAUUUAAUCUCUUUAUUUGGCUCAAUAUCUUUGACUCCUAAAUUUUCUCUUCCAACUUCUUUAUUCUCUUUUAUUCCUUUCCUUUCACGGUUCUCUUUCUCAUACACACCUCUCUCUAAUUAGUUCGGCACAAAAUUUAUAUCUUAAAGUCACACAGUUUAUGUACAAAAGAGAGUUACAGAGCAUUUUCUUCUACUUACUGUUCAGUUUAUGAUGCUUGCAUUAUUUUUUGAGGACUCCAUGGAUUUUAGUUUGUGAAAGAUGUUCUGCAAAGUCUGGUGGAUGAUGACCUUGUUUUGAAGGACAAGAUAGGUAUCUCUAUAAGUAUUUGGUUCAACAGGAAAUAUGAAAAGUCAGUGUUUGUACAUGAAGGAUAUUUAUUUGUGUUGUAUUGCCCAUCGUACUUGGAUGAUGGAAUUUCUUCCAUACAUGCUUGUCUAGAUUUCAUCUGAGCUAAGUUCAUUUUCCCACUUCCAGGUUUACUUUUGGAGUCUUCUGAUUGUGUUGGUAAUCAGCUCAGUAAUGUGCACCGCAAACUAGAACUUGAUCUUGAAUUUGGUACGAAAAGGCAUGCAGAAUUUAUGGACCAGAGGGAUGGACUAAAGAAGGGCAGAAGGAAUCUGUAAGCAUAUAUAGCAUUUCUAGAAUUACUAAUAGAGAUUAACUUGUGGGGCUUUUACAUUCACCUUUCAAGGCUUCAGCACAGGAUGAGCUCAAAGCCGUUGAAGUCCAGUAUAACGAGCUGAAGGUAGACAAUAUCUUCACAGUAAGGUAGUGAUGUUCAAACAAUUUUGCCGAAGCCAAAGAACAGCUUGAACUUGUACAGUGAGGUGUUAUUGAUUAUUCCUUCAAUAUGCAUAUGAUCGUACUUGCUAACUGUGAAGCACUAUCAUAUUCCUAUUCCUUGCCCCAGCAAGGAUGAUCCAGCACAAACUUCUGCACACUGUUUGGUAUUUGUUAUGCACAGAAUUUUUGUGCAUGAUGGGAGUCAACUUUUUGCUAUUUCAUUAUGUUGUUGUCCAAUCAAUCUAAAGUCCUGGAAUAUGUGUUACUCAACUGCUGUGGUAAAAUGUGAUGUAAUCCAGUGUAAUGCAUCAUAAGAGGCUUGUUGCAAGUCUAAUGAAAUGGACAAUACCUUGUAAGUGGGAAUUUACCACAAAUCAUACCGGUUAACAUAUGAUACAUAUUUUCACCCA